AGGAUUGACGCCAACAUUCCUGAGCGCCGUUUGACAGGAGGCCACUGUCAAGCUGUCCGCUUCUGAUCACAGCACGUGUCGAAGAGCUACAAUGUCCAAGCCAUGAGAACGACGUCCACUGGGCCACCCAAAGCUGCAUUCAAGAGAGCAGAACUCAUGUCCUGGCCGGAGUGGAAAAAGACAGAGUUGCUCGUCGACGUCCUUCAAGCCCAAAAGCUAAAAAAAAAAAAUGGC